GGGGAUUUGGCUCAGCGGUAGAGCACUUGCCUAGCAAGCGCAAGGCCCUGGGUUCGGUCCCCAGCUCCG
rfam:Rattus norvegicus chromosome 10, whole genome shotgun sequence.